rnacentral:rRNA from 1 species
GACGAACGCUGGCGGCGUGCUUAACACAUGCAAGUCGAACGGAAAGGCCCUGCUUUUGUGGGGUGCUCGAGUGGCGAACGGGUGAGUAACACGUGAGUAACCUGCCCUUGACUUUGGGAUAACUUCAGGAAACUGGGGCUCAUACCGGAUAGGAGCUCCUGCUGCAUGGUGGGGGUUGGAAAGUUUCGGCGGUUGGGGAUGGACUCGCGGCUUAUCAGCUUGAUGGUGGGGUAGUGGCUUACCAAGGCUUUGACGGGUAGCCGGCCUGGGAGGGUCACCGGCCACAUUGGGACUGAGAUGCGGCCCAGACUCCUACGGGAGGCAGAAGUGGGGAAGAUUGCACAAUGGGCGGAAGCCUGAUGCAGCAACGCCGCGUGCGGGAUGACGGCCUUCGGGUUGUAAACCGCUUUCGCCUGUGACGAAGCGUGAGUGACGGUAAUGGGUAAAGAAGCACCGGCUAACUACGUG